GGGCUUAUAGCUCAGCGGUAGAGCGAGGGAUUGCAGAUCCCUAGGUCCCGUGUUCAAAUCACGGUGGGCCCU